GUCAGCGGUGACGUUAAGAUAAGUGUCAGGAUUUUCCCAUGAUCCUUUGCUCCUGCUUGUCUCUGACCUUCUGUCGGCUGUGAGCUAAAAGACGGAUAGAAAUGGUGCCUCCUGUGCAGGUUUCACCCCUUAUUAAGACAGCCAGGUACUCGGCUCUGAUCGUGGGGAUCAUCUACGGCAAAAAGCGCUAUGAUUACCUGAAGCCCGUAGCAGCGGAGGAGAGGAGGAUCGAGGAGGAGGAAAGGAAAAUGAGGGAGGAACAAGAACGCAUAGCCAAACAGCUGGCUGAGGCAAAUGAAGAUACGAUCCUGAAGUAAGAACUCUGAAGUGUUUGUCUUUAUGGACCCGUUAUGGAGGUCUCAACGUUCUUCUCAUCACUCACCACCUUCUACAUUAUUACCUGCUGUUUUACAGUGAAUACAAUUUCUGUGUAUUAGUAAAAUUCACACAAUCCGUGAGCACCUGUAUGCCUGAGUCUUUCUUUCCCUCAAUUUCUUUAUGAACAUGGUCUGUACCAGAUGCCUGAGUGGAUCAGAACACACAUCGUGUUCAUGUCUAAUGUUCAUUAUUAAUUCCUCAGUUGUGUCUCACUCUGUGAUCAAUUCAAACAGUCAUUUGUCAGGAGAAUUUAUAAAUAAAUAAAUGUUCUCUGAUUAUGAAUUCA